UACACACAGGUGGUAUCGGGACAGGCGUUGCAUCUCCAGCAGGUUGCAGGUGAAAGCGCCUGGUUUGGUUGGAAGGGACGUAUGAAGCAAGGAGUUACAGAGGUAGUGGUCUCUGCAGAAGGCAGAAGGAGGUGGGGAUGGGAAGAUGUGACUGGUGGUGGUAUCACGUUGAGGGAGACGGGAAUGUUGGAGAAGGGAAAGGGGGAUGGGGGGUAAAACGAGACGAACAAAAUGAGCAAGUUAUCUAAGUAUUGGUGAAUUCACAGUUGACUCCAUUAGACGGCAAUGAGCGUGGGGCACAGGGUGAUUGUAGUGUCAUUAGGAAGUGAUGGUAGUAGUGAAUGGUGCAGGUACGGAUCCGUACAGCCCACUGUAAGAUCGGUACAUGGGGUAAGGCCGCCUUCAUUGCCACCACCACAACAAAAGGUUGCUACAAAAAUAGUCACCACUGAGUGGUUUGCGCUAGUGUUUUUAUUUAAAUUAGUCCUCGUCAGACCAGAAUGACCAGAUUCCUGUCGGAACUGAAUGUAAACAUUAACUUUGGCUGCAAACAAGGAACUGCAGGUGUUUUUUU